rnacentral:lncRNA from 1 species
AGAUACGCCCCUUGGAUGCCUGCAGAGAAGCUCUGGGGCUUCAGUCAAUGACUCAGGGUAGCCACCGAACAUGAUGCUCGGGCAGUGGGUGCCACCUGGACUCCACUCUCCCCUCUCUCUGGGAUCAUAGAGUCCAAGGUGUUCUGUGGCCUCUCGGCCAAUCCCAGCAGCUCAGCGUGCAGAAGACCGAGGAGCCAUUGGUCAGUGUAGGAGGUGCCUGGAGUUUUGGAGAUGGGAUCCACAGGAAUUCAACACAACACGAAAUAAUCAACAAAUUCGGGGAAUGUUAAUCUGACCAUCACCAGUUACAAAUGAUGUUUCAUGCUACCUUCUAUUCCUGCCUUCAUAAAUCAAGGAAAAGAAAAAGAGAACAUAUAUCCCCCUACCUUUUGAUUUCCAACAGUCUACUGAGAGGCCAAGAUUAUUUGCAGGGAAAGAAAAGGGGAAUGCCAUCCCCACCCUCUCGCAGCUACGUGCCAGUUCCAGAGCACCUGUUCCCCUCUACUUUGAAAAGGUCAAAAUGUUUUGCCAGUAACUCCCAAAUCAUCUACAGCCAAGGAGAAAAGUGUUUCAAGACAGAGGUGCUCAAUGGUAUCAAAUACUGCCAACAGACCAAGUAAUACAUGCAUUGAAGUGUCUACUGGAUCUAGCUAUAUGAAUUUUUAAUUUAGGACACUUAGGCCAUACUGAAGCAAGGUGACAAAAUGAAUAGCUACAAUGUCUCGUGAAUCUUGGGUUUCCAUUCACCCUGGUAUUCAAGAGAAAUUCUUGCAUCAUGGAAGUUGCAGUUGGAUAGGACUUUCUCAGCUGAACACUGUCAUCUGCCAGAGCUUCAGGCAAGAACCCAGAACAGAUGAAACCCCAGACAUGACAAAAUAAGCCAAAGAAUACCAGGCCAAGGUGUGAAAGGCCAGAUGAGAACAAGCAGCGUACACGAUUCUGUUGCCAACAGAUCUCCCCUAACAGUGUCGUGCACCAAAUUUCCACAGUGAAUGUCAGGAAAAAAUGGCAAUUGAGGUGGGUGGUCAAAAGAGAAGCACAGUCUAUGAUGAAGUCACCCCAGAGAAGUCCUUUUUCCGUUUUCUCCUGAGAAAUUACCAGAAGAAAUUAAAAUCCUUUUGAGUAUUGCAUUUA